rnacentral:rRNA from 1 species
ACAGCCACAUCAUGUUGAAACACCAGUUCUCAUACGAUCAUCAAAGUUAAGCAACAUUGAGCCUGGUCAGUACCUAGAUGGGUGACCAUUUGGGAACACUGGA